UAUAGAAUGAUAUUUUAAGUCAUUUAGUUUAUAUAAAAUAUUUCUCCUUAACCUAUUUGUUGCUGUUAUGAUGAUUUAAAAUAGGUAACUGUUGAUUAUAACAAGCGUUCGUAGCCUUCAAAGUUGAAUGUGGGUGUCGAACUCAGGUAUUUAACAGGGGACGAUGUCAUGGACAUGGAUGUAUGGAUGAACAGAAGAUGAAUGCUUGAGGGUUGAAUGGAAGGAAUGAGAGGAUCCCUUUUUGUUAACACAUAAAUAUUUAGGAAAAGAGUAUGAGGUUAGAUAAAUGUUGAUGAAUCAGCAGUGCGAUAGAAGUGAUGUCCUUUUUUACUUUUUUUGUGAAUAAAUAAUUGAAUUUCACAAAGUUUAGGUCCUUUUUUGCUUGAAUUCAAAUGACAUUGUUUUGUAAUCAAUUUUUCGGUUGAUGGAUUCUGCAUACUAAAUUACAAUGGUAUAGACAACCCGUUGCGCAACACGUGGUGGCACUAUUUUAUGCUUAUAAGCUAUGAAGGAGUAAUGUCUGGCCUUAUUGUAUGUGGCCUCCAGUUUCGACCAAUCAGAGAGUAUGAGGCAAUCAAGUAUCACAUGCUCUGAUGACUAAUCGAAAAGGUUAAUGGCAUGCAAGGAACUAACAAUUUUAUUGAAGAUGAUUAUAGUGCUCUAGUGGUGGCCACGGGUAUUUAAGUUCCACUUAUGGUGGGCCCGGUAAUGCUAAUUUGGUAAAAGACAUCUAUUUUAAGUUACAUAUGGAUAAUGAUAGAAUGUUACCUAUGACAUUAAUAGUUGGUUUCCAAAGAGUACCUUUGAAAGUUUUCAACCGUUUUUCAACUGUUUGUAAAAAAAAUGGCAUGAUGGGAUUGAAUCUUUGAAGUUUCGGUGGAAACAUGCUUGCUAUUGGGAAAAUUAUUAGGAGCUUAAAGCGGAAGAAGCCUUGAGCUUGAGAGAAUUGUAUGCAAAAGAGAUUUCAGAUGUUAACGCAGGAAGGUCAACACAUACGUUACAGUUUCCUGAACGUGUCUUUCAUUAAAUGGUUUAUUUCAACACUGCUAAAUUAGAUAUUUUAUUGUGAAGUAAAUGCCAUAAGUAAUUCAA